AUUAAAUCAAGACGACAUCGACUCUAAUCAAGCCGUUUUUUGGUUAAUUUGUUUAUAAGAUAAAAUACAAAACACAUCCGUUUUCUCGUUUCUCUUGAUAUGACGAGAGGCGGAAUUUGAUCAAAGCAGCGUGUUAAAAACGAAUAAACGAGCUGAAAACGGUGUUUUUAAAACUAGACGCGGAAUUGGAUUUAAAGGAAAAAAACGGAAAACGAGAAAACGAGUCGUUUUGACGGACCGUGACAAACGGCAAAUAAUCAAAGCAGCGUGUUAAAAAUUUCACUCACGUAACUGGUUCUGUUAUUUAUUACAAUGCUUUUAAACUGUUUUACAGGAAGGACAUUCACUCUGUGCUGCUUCGGCUUCUAACGGUCAGCUCUUGUCGCUUUACUAACAUUAUUCUGAUGUGUUAAAACUUUGGUUAAACAUUUUAUACAUGACAUAAAACAAGGUUCAACAGAACGUUACACCAACAGCCUGUUAGUGAACGUCUGCUCUGUUGUCUAAUCAUUUACAUCAGUGUAAAUGAUACAGUAUGUACAAAUAUAAAAUAUUUAUCAUGUUACGAUAAAAACAUAAGAAUACACUUAUGAUCUGAUGGUUACAUAUAGGAUAUAAACCACGUUUAUAUGUAAUAGUGAACACUAAUAGGACGUUAGUGUAUUUACGAAAACUUGUAAAUUUUGGUAAAACACAUUUAAUCUACAUUGUAGUUUUACAGUAAACCUUAUCAACAUGUAAAUGCAACAGAAUAUUUUUCCAUCCAUGUCCCUGCAGCAACGAGUGGUAACACAUGUGGUUGAGGUAUGUGCUCAGCAGGUUCAUGUCUGAGCUGCUGCUGUCGUCAUCAACAGUUUAUGGGUAAAGUUUACUGAACCUUUCAACAAGGAGCUGACCAGCUCAUAAAAGCUGCUUCUGCACCUACAACUGGAUUUAUUCUGAGUAAAGUCUAUGUGUUCUUCAAAUAAAAAAAAGGAUCAUUCUGUGAUUUUUGUCUGACACAUAAUCAAUGAUCAUGUGAUUUCUGACCAUUACAUAUUAAUCUAUUACCUUUUAUUGGAUUAGUGUCAGUUUGAAAUAAAGAUUCAUAUUUUUUUUAAUUUGCUCCAUCUCCUCAUCCCCAGACGUUAGGUUGUAUCUGAUAAUGGAUUAUCACAGCAACUCCAUGGAGUACAAUGAUGAUCAUUACCAAAGAUCCUAUGAGUUUGACCAUAGAAAGGUUGAUUUGGUCAUAAAAUGGUUGAUGUGGGCAAUCUGUAUCAUCAGCCUCCCGUUGAACGGAGCGGUCAUCUUCGCUACGUUUUCUCAGGUGCAGAGGGGCGUGACUCGGAUCUACGUCAUGAACCUUCUGGUCUCUGACCUCCUGCAGCUCUGCUCUACGGCGGCUCCAUCCACAAGCGAUUAUGGGGCUUUCAUCUCCUACGAAUUCUGCUAUUUAGGUCUGAUGGCCAGCGUUGGCUUCAGGACGUUCCUCGCUUUGGAAAGGUGUUCAGUGGUCUUGUGCCCACGAGGCUCCUGCUUCAGACAGUCUAUUAAAGUCUGUGCAGUGGUUUCCCUCUUUCUGUGGUUGGUUCCUCUUUGCAUCUUCCUCUUUGAUGUGUUUAGACAAGAUACAAUUGUCCAUCUCAUCUACCUCUUCCUUCCAUGUCCCUUCCUCAUCUCCACUCUUGUUAUAUCCCUUAGAUCUCUGUGUGUAAACAGCAGCGUUAAUCUCAGUCUAAAGCUCAGAGUCGUGGGCAGUGUGGUUCUGCUGGUGCUUGUUCACAUGUUGCUUAUUAUUCCCUCUCUGAUUGUAUGGCUGUCAGGAGGUACAGGAAGCUAUAUACUGGAUCAUGUGCCAGAUGUUAUUCUCAAGCUGGUUCCACUUGCAGACCUGUUUCUGUAUUUCUUUCUGACUAAAAGAGACACAGACAAUAACUUAGGUAACAGUGUGAACAGGUCAGUGAUGAACGAUGAGAGCAGCCACAUCAACAGCUCUGUGUAGUCAAAGAAGAAACCAGAGUUUCAGUAAGAGCAGGUGAAGUAAUACAUAUUAUACUGCAGUAAUUGUUACUAUAAUAAACAUUCUCCAGUUAAUAAUCAUUGGGUACAUUUUUAUUGGCAUGUUUUUAUAUAACACAUUGCAUGUAUGUGAUUGGAAUUCAAUAAAAAAAUAAUUUCAAGAUAUGUUCAUCUUCAUUAACUCCAGCAGAACCAGAACCAGUGAACUCGUCACUUUACCACUCAUGUUUAUGGAUGAAUGUAAACAUGCCAAAAUAAAAGAACCCAUACGUUGAUCUUAUCUCAAGUCUUAUUUUGGUAGGGUGUGUGCAUGUCUCUGCUCAGGUGUGUGGUUUUGUGACAGUGAUGACAAACGCUCAUUUACAUGGACAAACACAGGCGCCUGAAGCAGCCGUCGGCACGUUGCACCUGAGGAGGAAGAGGAGGGAGGAGGAGGAGGAGGAGGAGGGCUCUCAGACAGCUUAAAGUGGACAGCUGAUGUGCAGUAAAUAUAGAAGUUAAAAUCAGUUCUAAGGUCUGUUUUUCUUACCAGCGGGGAUUUAAAAGCUGCUGAAACGAUGAGUCAUGUUAUCAGAGACCAAGCUCCAGAACCGAAGUCACAGCGCGGAGGCUCCGUUCACAGCCCGAAGCAGCUCAAGGCUAAACCGGGCAGCGAACUGGGCCUGACCCGCUGCGCCGCCUGCUACAGCCUUAGCGCCGGCUCCAGCCACCGGCACGGGGGGAACGGAGACUCCAGCUCCUCAGCUGAAGACUCGGCAUCGGACGGAGACUGUGACUCUGAAGCCGAGUCCAGCUCCAGCAGCUCCGGCUCCGGACGUGGUGCAGUGACUGCAAGUGAAAAGCCUGAAACGCAGCAGCUCUCCGGUGAAUGUGGAGAUGGUGCCGACCCAAACUGUGGAGGUGAAAGGCCCCAGAGUCAGGAUGAUGAGACCAGGACAGGCGCAAUGACUCAGAGGGCCCCGCUUGUAAAGUCUCGCUCCCUGCCCUCGUCCCAGGCUCCUCAGCUCACCGCGGCGCCGCUGCUGCCUCGCCCUCCGACCAUGGUGUCCACCCUGCUGCUGCAGGUGCUGCCUGAGCACCAGGACGCCUUCAUCGCCGCCCACCAGCACCCGUCUGCAGGUCAGCGUGGGAGCACAGAGCACGGCUACGGAGCAGCACAAAGGAUGAGCGGCCUGCCGCCUGCGCAACCUGUCCAGUGGCAGCAGGUGGGGUUACCGUGGCAACCGCAUCAGCAGUAUCAACAGCAGCUGCAGGUGCCACCUCAACACUUCCCUCCCUGCUCAGCUGGGGGUCAAACGCUCCCACCUCAACCUCCUCUGCUACAGCCUCUAACGCUCCUACAGGCCCUGCAUGCGCAGCCGCAGCCGCAGCCGCAGCCGCAGCCGCAGCCGCAGCUGCUCAGUCCACAGCCCUGCAUCUACUGUUACCUCAACACGUACUGGAGCCAUUACAGUAGUGGGGAGUUACUCCACUGGUAACAAACAAACUGACGAGGAAUCAGGAAAUCACGUUCCACCUUCUGACAUGUUUAUGAUGUUGAACUUUGAGGACGUUGAGAACGAUCAGCGGAGAAUCACACUGAAGACACACGUCAGUGUAUAAAGAUGGGUGUGAUGUCAUCUCUGUGUGACGUCUGUGGUGGAGAACUGAAAGCGUUGUUUCACCUUCAUGGAGCUCAAAUGGACGAUUUCCAGCUCUAUGGGAAAAAAAGCACAAGAGACUCUCUGUGUAACGUGUGCGUGGUUGGUUCCACCUACAGCUGCCACUAAGUCUCUCCAGAUGUCUGCACGGACACAAAGUGUUUCCAGUGCACACCCGCACGCACGCACGCACGCACGCACGCACGCACGCACGCACGCACGCACGCACGCAUGCACGCACGCACGCACGCACACAUUCUUGUACUUAUAUCAAAGUGAGGACCUCCAUUGACAUAAUGCCUCCAUAGCCCCUCACUCUAACCAUCACAACUAAAGGCAGACGUCUAAUCUUUGCUCUGAUCCGAAUCACAACUCAAUUCUAACCUCAGCCCUAAAAUCACAUCUUGACCCUCAAACAGGGCUUUAAAGAAGUGAGGACUGGCCAAAAUGUACUCAAGUAAGUAGUACAAGUACACACACACACACACACGCACACACACACACACACACUCACUCACACACACACACACACACACACACACACACACACACACACACACACACACACACACACACACGCCUGUCCUUGUUAAUGUCACGUAACUGGGUCAUCAGGUGUUCAUGAGGUCUGACUGUAACGCUGUCUGUUGACUGGACGUUUCCUCGUACAGUACGUGUGCACACAGCGCCCCAGGGCUUGUUGAUCUUCUGAUGUGCGUCACUCUAAGCGAUCCGUGAUGGAGCCUGUCGUGCACCGUUGUCGAAGGACUGCCUCAGGUGGAACCAGAGCGUAGAGCAUCGCGUGCCUCUUAGUGCAGCCGCUGUGGUUAAGGAAGCGCUGCAGUGACCGGGCUGCUGUCAAUUAGUGCUAAUGGAGCCGGUCCGGGGGAGACCACUCCCUCCCCCGACCCCUCCCUCCUCGUCAUACAUGCACCCACACACUCUCUCUCUUCCCUGCUUUUCUAUCUCAGUCCGUAAUAAUGGAGCCCAGCAGCCCCAAGAAGAUCCAGUUUGCCGUCCCUCCGCUGCAGGGACAGCUGGACCCGCAGGCCGCCGAACACAUCCGGCGCAGGAGACCGACUCCGGCUACGCUGCAGAUCUACAGACAACCUGGCACAGAUGUUGGAGAUCAACACAACGCCAGCGGUGACUCACAGGCGUCAGAGUCCUCUCAGAGGAAGCAGAGCACCUUCACCCCACCCCCCAUGACAGAGCUUCAGCAGGGGGCGGAGCAGCAUCUGCUGGAGGCGGGGCUCUGUGACACACAUGGUCUGAUGAGCCCAAUCACAGCACAGCUUUAUGAACUGUGGGCCAAUCACAACGGGCCGGAAGAAACCAAUGGGAACGAGGCGGGUCUGCAGAUAGCCAAUCAGGAGAGAGGAGUGGCAGAGAGCAGCAGUACAGGGGGUAAAUGCCGUUUUAGACGAACACACCAGGCACUAAAGACUUCAACUACUUAUAAGCUGGAAGAUUUAAUGAACAAAGACGAUCAAAGUUUUAAAGUAUUAUUAGUUUUAGUAAAAUCAGCUCAUUUGCAUAUUAACCAACAGCUCUAACUCGUGUCUCUUGUUUCUCCUCCUGCUGUGUCUCUGCAUGGCCUCUGCUUCUCCAUCAUCUUCCUGCUGCUUCUCCUCCCUCCUCAGAUUUGUCAUGUGACCACAAACAGGAAGCGUCCAGUCCCGACUCGGUCUCACGAUAGCCGCCGCGGCUGCUUCUCCAUCUCUGAGCUCGUUCUCUUCAUCUGAUCACUCUCGCUCACUGCUUCACACAAAUCUGUCUCUCCAUGCACACCAUGAUUUAAGUUACAUGUACUGGAUCUAAAGCUCGAUGUCGACGGUUGUUUGUUUAGAAAUGGCUGUGAAUAAAAUGACAGUGAAACA